UACGUAGGGUGCAAGCGUUAAUCGGAAUUACUGGGCGUAAAGCGUGCGCAGGCGGUUUUGUAAGUCUGUCGUGAAAUCCCCGGGCUCAACCUGGGAAUUGCGAUGGAGACUGCAAGGCUAGAAUCUGGCAGAGGGGGGUAGAAUUCCACGUGUAGCAGUGAAAUGCGUAGAGAUGUGGAGGAACACCGAUGGCGAAGGCGGCCCCUGGGUCGGCCCUGACGCUGAGGCGCGAAAGCGUGGGGAGCGAACGGG
rnacentral:rRNA from 1 species